rnacentral:tRNA from 1 species
GCAUUAAUGGGGUAGUGGUAACCUGGGUCGUUGCCAUCAAUAUGUCGAGAGAGUAUGUUUCGACCCGCCGGGGGUUCGAUUCCCCCUUAAUGCA